rnacentral:rRNA from 1 species
UUUUAGAAAUUAAUUUAAAGUCUAACCUGCCCACUGAAAAUUUUUAAAUGGCCGCAGUAUUCUAACUGUGCAAAGGUAGCAUAAUCAUUAGUCUUUUAAUUGAAGGCUGGAAUGAAUGGUUGAAUGAAAUAUUAACUGUUUCAUUAAAAUUUAUAAUAGAAUUUUAUUUUUUAGUCAAAAAGCUAAAAUAUAAUUAAAAGACGAGAAGACCCUAUAAAUCUUUAUAUUUAAAUAAUUUUAAUUAUUAAGAUAAAUUAAAUUAUCAUUAUUUUAAAUAUUUUAUUGGGGUGAUAUUAAAAUUUAAUAAACUUUUAAUUUAUUAUUUACAUAAAUUAAUGAAUUAUUGAUCCAUUAAUAAUGAUUAAAAAAUUAAGUUACUUUAGGGAUAACAGCGUAAUUUUUUUAGAAAGUUCACAUUGAUAAAAA